rnacentral:rRNA from 1 species
UGGGGAAUAUUGGGCAAUGGGGGGAACCCUGACCCAGCAACGCCGCGUGAGGGAAGAAGGUUUUCGGAUCGUAAACCUCUGUCCUUGGUGAAGAGUAGAAGACGGUAGCCAAGGAGGAAGCCCCGGCUAACUACGUGCCAGCAGCCGCGGUAAUACGUAGGGGGCAAGCGUUGUCCGGAAUGAUUGGGCGUAAAGGGCGCGUAGGCGGCCUGGUAAGUCUGGAGUGAAAGUCCUGCUUUUAAGGUGGGAAUUGCUUUGGAUACUGCUGGGCUUGAGUGCAGGAGAGGUAAGUGGAAUUCCCAGUGUAGCGGUGAAAUGCGUAGAGAUUGGGAGGAACACCAGUGGCGAAGGCGACUUACUGGACUGUAACUGACGCUGAGGCGCGAAAGUGUGGGGAGCAAACAGGAUUAGAUACCC